rnacentral:lncRNA from 1 species
CUGGCUAUGAGUUAGCCCAGAUCCUCACGUGGAUUCCAGAAAGGCGUAUAAUUAUAUAAACCCAGACGGACACGGAAAAAAGGAAGCUCUUCUUUUUAAUAUCUUGUAGGCAACUAUGGAUGACAUAUUUCACACAGCUGUCUUUACGAUAAAAUAAACAACAUUAAAGUAAACUCCAAAACGUGCGAGGCACAAAAUGUGUACACGGCCAAGUAUAUCAGCCUGCGCGCGCACGGGAGAGAGGACCGAGGGGAGGAGCAACCCCUUAGUCUCCACCAUAAUACGUCAUCAUUACAACACACGCACACACACACAUUUUCUGAACCGCUUGUCCCAUACGGGGUCGCGGGGAACCGGAGCCUACGCGGCAGCACAGGGCGUAAGGCCAGAGGGGGAGGGGGACACACCCAGGACGGGACGCCAGUCCGCCGCAAGGCACCCCAAGCGGGACUCGAACCCCAGACCCACCAGGGAGUCCGGUCUAACCCACUGCGCCACCGCGCCCCCGUUGGACACUGAGUGUGCGGAACCAGAGACACCGUGGGAUGCGAUGAAACAUGUAUGUAAAACGCCUUAGUAUUUCCAGAGCACUUUGCUAUAAAUAUAUAACAACCCCAAGUGGGCACAGCACGUGGAAUACACGUGGAAAAAAAAACUGGUUAUAAAAAAGUGGAAUUAUAUACAGUAUUUGCAGUAAAAGCCAGUUCGAAAUCGCGUGGGUAUAGGAGGUGGGAUUGUCGUGUGGUAAUUCCACAUAUAAUAUUACGCAAAGUCUGAAUCGCGUGUGAUAUGUAUUUCAUUACAGAAAAAAAGAUUUCUAUAAAUUUCAAAUAAUUUAUAUGGUGCCCCACCUUUCUUUUCGCUGUGGCGCAUUUCUCAGUCUGCUGACGAUGAGGCCAUGAACCAAGGUUUCUAUGGCAUGUACAUGGCUCUUUAAAACACUCUCAAUUGAAUGGUGAAAAAAUAUGUUUUUUGUUCAGAAUGUGAGGUUGUUCAGAAUGGUAUGUACAUUCAGUUGUAUGUACUCUCUACCAAUUACUUAUUAGUUAUUGCAGAGGUGUCUUCUCCAAGGAUACUUUCUCCCCUCUUGAUGCCUUCUUGUUUAAUUUACACAUAAGUGCACUGGUGAAAAAUCUAGUAGAAAAUACAUAAUUAAAAGAUUAAAAAACAUCAAAAUGUUUUGUGCUGAUUAUUCUUUAAUAGAACAACUUCUCCUGGAUAGACACUGAAAACACACAAGAAAAACUGUCCUUUUCGAAAGGCAUCUUGACACUGAUCAGAUCUUGGCUUUAAGGCCAUACAGAAAUU